rnacentral:rRNA from 1 species
GGAUCCAGACUUUGAUUCUGGCUCAGGAUGAACGCUAGCUACAGGCUUAACACAUGCAAGUCGAGGGGAAACGACAUCGAAAGCUUGCUUUUGAUGGGCGUCGACCGGCGCACGGGUGAGCAACGCGUAUCCAACCUGCCCACCACUUGGGGAUAACCUUGCGAAAGUAAGACUAAUACCCAAUGACAUCCAUAGAAGACAUCUGAAAUGGAUUAAAGAUUUAUCGGUGAUGGAUGGGGAUGCGUCUGAUUAGCUUGUUGGCGGGGUAACGGCCCACCAAGGCGACGAUCAGUAGGGGUUCUGAGAGGAAGGUCCCCCACAUUGGAACUGAGACACGGUCCAAACUCCUACGGGAGGCAGCAGUGAGGAAUAUUGGUCAAUGGGCGAGAGCCUGAACCAGCCAAGUAGCGUGCAGGACGACGGCCCUAUGGGUUGUAAACUGCUUUUAUAAGGGAAUAAAGUGAGUCUCGUGAGACUUUUUGCAUGUACCUUAUGAAUAAGGACCGGCUAAUUCCGUGCCAGCAGCCGCGGUAAUACGGAAGGUCCGGGCGUUAUCCGGAUUUAUUGGGUUUAAAGGGAGCGUAGGCCGGAGAUUAAGCGUGUUGUGAAAUGUAGAGGCUCAACCUCUGCACUGCAGCGCGAACUGGUCUUCUUGAGUACGCACAACGUGGGCGGAAUUCGUGGUGUAGCGGUGAAAUGCUUAGAUAUCACGAAGAACUCCGAUUGCGAAGGCAGCUCACGGGAGCGCAACUGACGCUGAAGCUCGAAAGUGCGGGUAUCGAACAGGAUUAGAUACCCUGGUAGUCCGCACGGUAAACGAUGGAUGCCCGCUGUUGGCCUGAAUAGGUCAGCGGCCAAGCGAAAGCAUUAAGCAUCCCACCUGGGGAGUACGCCGGCAACGGUGCAACUCAAAGGAAUUGACGG